rnacentral:rRNA from 1 species
CGUGUAGACGGCUUGGUAAGUCAGAUGUGAAAGCCCUGGGCUUAACCCAGGAAGUGCAUUUGAAACUGCCAGGCUUGAGUAGGGAAGAGGAAGGUGGAAUUCCUGGUGUAGAGGUGAAAUUCGUAGAUAUCAGGAGGAACACCGGUGGCGAAGGCGACCUUCUGGUCCUAUACUGACGCUGAGACGCGAAAGCGUGGGUAGCAAACA